rnacentral:sRNA from 1 species
CUAAAUCUAGCAGUAUGGAAAGCAAGGGCGAAAGCUAAGGGCUUGAACCAGUUAGGCUAGCUUAGCAAAAACGAAAGUUAGGUUUAAAAAGAAAUAAACAAUGCAUUUUAUAACGAGCAGUAAACAAUUUACUGUUCCUAUUCUCAAAUCUGCUGGUCGACUUAUUGACUCCAGAUGUGGAAUAUCUUGUUCCUCUUGUUUGACGGGAUCAUUCAAAUUACCGCCUAACUAUGACA